CGUUAUUCGGAAUUACUGGGCUUAAAGGGUUUGUAGGCUGCCAUGUGAGUCAGGUGUGAAAUCCCUCGGCUCAACCGAGGAACUGCGCUUGAUACUGCAUGGCUUGAGGGAGACAGGGGUAAGCGGAACUGAUGGUGGAGCGGUGAAAUGCGUUGAUAUCAUCAGGAACACCGGUGGCGAAAGCGGCUUACUGGGUCUCUUCUGACGCUGAGGAACGAAAGCUAGGGUAGCGAACGGG
rnacentral:rRNA from 1 species